rnacentral:rRNA from 1 species
CCUACGGGUGGCAGCAGUGAGGAAUAUUGGUCAAUGGGCGCGAGCCUGAACCAGCCAAGUAGCGUGAAGGAUGACUGCCCUACGGGUUGUAAACUUCUUUUAUAAAGGAAUAAAGUGAGGCACGUGUGCCUUUUUGUAUGUACUUUAUGAAUAAGGAUCGGCUAACUCCGUGCCAGCAGCCGCGGUAAUACGGAGGAUCCGAGCGUUAUCCGGAUUUAUUGGGUUUAAAGGGUGCGCAGGCGGUCUGUUAAGUCAGCGGUCAAAGCCCGGGGCUCAACCCCGGCCCGCCGUUGAAACUGGCAGUCUCGAGUUGGAGAGAAGUAUGCGGAAUGCGCGGUGUAGCGGUGAAAUGCAUAGAUAUCGCGCAGAACUCCGAUUGCGAAGGCAGCAUGCCGGCUCCACACUGACGCUGAGGCACGAAAGCGUGGGUAUCGAACAGGAUUAGAUACCCUUGUAGUC